rnacentral:rRNA from 1 species
CAGCAGCCACGGUAAUACAGAGGGUGCGAGCGUUAAUCGGAUUUACUGGGCGUAAAGCGUGCGUAGGCGGCUUCUUAAGUCGGAUGUGAAAUCCCUGAGCUUAACUUAGGAAUUGCAUUCGAUACUGGGAAGCUAGAGUAUGGGAGAGGAUGGUAGAAUUCCAGGUGUAGCGGUGAAAUGCGUAGAGAUCUGGAGGAAUACCGAUGGCGAAGGCAGCCAUCUGGCCUAAUACUGACGCUGAGGUACGAAAGCAUGGGGAGCAAACAGGAUUAGAUACCCCGGUAGUCCAUGUCUCUUAUAC